rnacentral:piRNA from 1 species
UUAUGGUUUGGUAGUAGUGAGAGG